rnacentral:rRNA from 1 species
GAUUUCUGGGCUCAAGAGUUUGGCCGGCCACGGUUUCGUGUGUUAGUGCUUUGCUCUGUGUCCAUCCUUCCAAUCGCUAUUGGCUAUUCUUCAUUGAUUGGUCAGUAGUAUUGGAUCUUUUACUUUGAAAAAAUUAGAGUGUUUCAAGCAGGCUUUAUGCUAUGAAUACAUUAGCAUGGAAUAAUAAUUUAGGACUUCGGUUCUAUUUUGUUGGUUUCUAGGACUGAAGUAAUGAUUGAUAGGGACAGUUGGGGAUGCUGAAAUUCAUUGGCCAGAGGUGAAAUUCUUGGAUUCAAUGAAGUUCAACUCAUGCGAAAGCAUU